UUCCUUUCUGUUUUUUUUUUUAUUUUUGGAGGGGAGCGCCCAGUAAUUGUCCUGAACACAUGCUUCUUCCUCCCUCCUUCCUCCAGCCACCAGCGACAGAGAGUCCCCUUUUUUGCAUUUAUCAUUUUCCUUCCCCUUUCUUUAUUAAAGGUCCGGGAGUGGCGGCGGCCAAUCAGCGCUCGGCUUCCAUUUUGUGAGUUCAACUCGGAGGCUUCCCCGGCUUCGCGUGGAGCUGUUUGCAGACCCCUCGCUCUCUCUUCUCGGGCUGCCGAGGCGAAGCAGCCGCCUGGCUGGGGCUUCGUGGUGGUGUAUUUCAUAUUGGGGCUCUUUUCGGGGUUUGUAAUUUGGCCGUGGGUAGGUAAUUGGCUGGAGCAGGGCGGCAGGGCGCGGCAGCCAAUCAGCACGCGGCUUCUAUAGGGCUUGAGUUAUUAGACGCUGAUCUCAAAACAUCCUUCAUCAGACUCCAAGGAGAGGCCAACAGAUGAGGGGAGCCAUUUUUCUGCAAUGGAAUUAAAUGGCCAAGUGGGUUUUUCCUUUGUUGCAAAUGGGGAAUGCUUUUCCUUUGACUCCACCAUCCAGUUCAGGACGCCUGAAUGUGUUUAACAUUUGCCAAAGGACUCACACUUGGAAGAAUGAAGAAGACCUUUUAAAAAGAUCUGGAUUUUUCCUUAUGACUUGGAAUCCAUCUUUGUCUUGUAUAACUAGGUCAUGGCACACUAUUAAUGUCAGCAGUUAACAGUUUUGAAUUCAAAAAAACCUAAGUAAAUGACAUAUUUAAUUUUUUUCCUCUUUUUUUUUUUCUUGGGUGGGGUGGAGGGGGGAAGAGCUUGGAGCUGUCUUAAUCUGUAUUCUCUUGACUGAACAAUAAAUUUUUAAAUAUACUUUCCUCUAUUAAACACUUAACCUGGGCCAUCUUAUUAACUACUCUUUUUUAACAAGGUAAUGUUUUAAAUGUAUACUUAAUAGGAAUAGCGAAAUGGCAGCAACAACCAAACAUCGUGAGCUGUUGUUACUGUUAAAUUUUCUUAAAAAAACCUUUUUUACAUUGUAAGUACCCAAUCCAUUCUGUCCUUACUGCACUGCAGUUAUGUUAAUGUCGCCUGAGAUGUCCUGAAUUUUCGGAACCUUCAUCUGCAUGUCCGUCUCUGUCUCUGUCCGAUAGCGGUAAACAGUCCACAGCGAAGCCGCCUUUUUGCCAGCCCAACCCUGGAAAGUUUGCAGGUCGUGGAAGGAGCAGAAAAUACCACGAGUGUAACUUACAAAAAGGUCUUGGCCGGAGACCGGAGCAAUGUCUGGGUUAUCCCCACAGUAGACAGCCCUUGCUUCCUCUGGACAUCUGGAGCAGGCCUAAUUUGGCUUGACACCUUUCCCACUAAGUGAAUUUUCUCCUAGCACAUGCAGCCAGCCAGCCUCCUGGGCCCAGGACCAAGCCCAAAGCAGCCCCAGAGAAGAAACCUGGAAUCCCUGCAAAGGUAAGUGGGUCCCAGCGCCCUCCCAAACUCCCCCUCUUUGUGCGAUUUUGACUCCACGCUGGAGUGGCCUGCUCUGCCUUCUCUGGGGACUCGUGCCUCUGGCACGCCAUCUUUCCUUUUUUUUUUGCCGUCCCCAAAGAGCAGCCACUGAGCUCCAGCCCCAGUGCCUCCUCCUCUGCCUGGUUUUGACAGCACGCCCUUCUCGACUCAACCAGCAGUCAGGCCCGCCCUGAUUUAGCCGGUUACCUUGACAACCAUUUGGGCCCCGGCUCCCUCCCUCCCUCCUCACCACUGAAAACCUGAAGAGGGUUUUCCAGCUGCGGUACAUUGGUACAUUUGCCCAGGUUGGGCACCCCUCCCCCGCUUCCAUUGCCCCCGCCCCUCUGCCCAGCUGUACCCAGUACAACAAACACCGCCUUCCCUGGUCCCUCUGCUGUCGCCUUAAAAUGGAUCUCACUGAUGCUGGGAACUCCGAUCACACUGCUUCCUCCAGACCGUUCCCCACAGGCAGGAACACGGUUUGCUUCUCAAUA